rnacentral:misc_RNA from 1 species
AGCAGCCGCGGUAAUUCCAGCUCCAAUAGCGUAUAUUAAAGUUGUUGCAGUUAAAAAGCUCGUAGUUGAAUUUCGGGAUCAAUAUGUUGGUCGUGCCUCGGUACGUACUAGCAUAUUGGUUUCUCCUUUCUGAAGAACCAUGAUGUCAUUUAUUUGGUGUCGUGGGGAAUCAGGACUGUUACUUUGAAAAAAUUAGAGUGUUUAAAGCAGGCUCACGCUUGAAUACAUUAGAAUGGAAUAAUGAAAUAGGACGUUUGAUUCUAUUUUGUUGGUUUCUAGGAUCGAUGUAAUGAUUAAUAGGGAUAGUUGGGGGCAUUAGUAUUCAAUUGUCAGAGGUGAAAUUCUUGGAUUUAUUGAAGACUAACUACUGCGAAAGCAUUUUGCCAAGGAUGUUUUCAUUAAUCAAGAACGAAAGUUAGGGGAUCGAAGACGAUCAGAUACCGUCGUAGUCUUAACCAUAAACUAUGCCGACUAGGGAUCGGAUGAUGUUAAUUUU